rnacentral:rRNA from 1 species
UACGAAUGGGGCGAGCGUUGUUCGGAAUCACUGGGCGUAAAGCGUACGUAGGCGGACUAGAAAGUCAGAAGUGAAAUCCCGGGGCUUAACCUCGGAAUUGCUUUUGAAACUUCUAGUCUAGAGGCCCGGAGAGGUCAGCGGAAUUCCGAGUGUAGAGGUGAAAUUCGCAGAUAUUCGGAGGAACACCAGUUGCGUAGGCGGCUGGCUGGACGGGCACUGACGCUGAGGUACGAAAGCGUGGGGAUCAAACAGG